UGAGUGAGUGGCGAACUGGUGAGUAACACGUGGGAAACCUGCCCAGAAGCGGGGGAUAACACCUGGAAACAGAUGCUAAUACCGCAUAACAACUUGGACCGCAUGGUCCGAGUUUGAAAGAUGGCUUCGGCUAUCACUUCUGGAUGGUCCCGCGGCGUAUUAGCUAGAUGGUGAGGUAACGGCUCACCAUGGCAAUGAUACGUAGCCGACCUGAGAGGGUAAUCGGCCACAUUGGGACUGAGACACGGCCCAAACUCCUACGGGAGGCAGCAGUAGGGAAUCUUCCACAAUGGACGAAAGUCUGAUGGAGCAACGCCGCGUGAGUGAAGAAGGGUUUCGGCUCGUAAAACUCUGUUGUUAAAGAAGAACAUAUCUGAGAGUAACUGUUCAGGUAUUGACGGUAUUUAACCAGAAAGCCACGGCUAACUACGUGCCAGCAGCCGCGGUAAUACGUAGGUGGCAAGCGUUGUCCGGAUUUAUUGGGCGUAAAGCGAGCGCAGGCGGUUUUUUAAGUCUGAUGUGAAAGCCUUCGGCUCAACCGAAGAAGUGCAUCGGAAACUGGGAAACUUGAGUGCAGAAGAGGACAGUGGAACUCCAUGUGUAGCGGUGAAAUGCGUAGAUAUAUGGAAGAACACCAGUGGCGAAGGCGGCUGUCUGGUCUGUAACUGACGCUGAGGCUCGAAAGUAUGGGUAGCAAACAGGAUUAGA
rnacentral:rRNA from 2 species